rnacentral:rRNA from 1 species
CCUACGGGGGGCUGCAGUGGGGAAUAUUGGACAAUGGGCGAAAGCCUGAUCCAGCCAUGCCGCGUGUGUGAAGAAGGCCUUCGGGUUGUAAAGCACUUUCAGUGGGGAAGAAAGCCUUGGGGCUAAUACCCUCGAGGAAGGACAUCACCCACAGAAGAAGCACCGGCUAACUCCGUGCCAGCAGCCGCGGUAAUACGGAGGGUGGCGAGCGUUAAUCGGAAUUACUGGGCGUAAAGCGCGCGUAGGCGGUCUGAUAAGCCGGUUGUGAAAGCCCCGGGCUCAACCUGGGAACGGCAUCCGGAACUGUCAGGCUAGAGUGCAGGAGAGGAAGGUAGAAUUCCCGGUGUAGCGGUGAAAUGCGUAGAGAUCGGGAGGAAUACCAGUGGCGAAGGCGGCCUUCUGGACUGACACUGACGCUGAGGUGCGAAAGCGUGGGUAGCAAACAGGAUUAAAUACCCGAGUAGUC